rnacentral:rRNA from 1 species
CUACGUGCCAGCAGCCGCGGUAAUACGUAUGUCACAAGCGUUAUCCGGAUUUAUUGGGCGUAAAGCGCGUCUAGGUGGUUAUGUAAGUCUGAUGUGAAAAUGCAGGGCUCAACUCUGUAUUGCGUUGGAAACUGCAUGACUAGAGUACUGGAGAGGUAAGCGGAACUACAAGUGUAGAGGUGAAAUUCGUAGAUAUUUGUAGGAAUGCCGAUGGGGAAGCCAGCUUACUGGACAGAUACUGACGCUAAAGCGCGAAAGCGUGGGUAGCAAACAGGAUUAGAUACCCUGGUAGUCCACGCCGUAAACGAUGAUUACUAGGUGUUGGGGGUCGAACCUCAGCGCCCAAGCUAACGCGAUAAGUAAUCCGCCUGGGGAGUACGUACGCAAGUAUGAAACUCAAAGGAAUUGACGGGGGCCCGCACAAGCGGAGGAACAUGUGGUUUAAUUCGAUGAUACGCGAGGAACCUUACCCGGGAU